rnacentral:rRNA from 1 species
GAUGAACGCUAGCUACAGGCUUAACACAUGCAAGUCGAGGGGCAGCGCAGUGUAGCAAUACAUGGGCGGCGACCGGCGCACGGGUGCGUAACGCGUAUCCAACCUUCCCGUUACUCAGGGAUAGCCUUCCGAAAGGGAGAUUAAUACCUGAUGGUGUUUGAAUUCCGCAUGUUAUUCAAACUAAAGAUUUAUCGGUAACGGAUGGGGAUGCGUGACAUUAGAUAGUAGGCGGGGUAACGGCCCACCUAGUCUACGAUGUCUAGGGGUUCUGAGAGGAAGGUCCCCCACACUGGAACUGAGACACGGUCCAGACUCCUACGGGAGGCAGCAGUGAGGAAUAUUGGUCAAUGGAGGCAACUCUGAACCAGCCAAGUAGCGUGCAGGAUGACGGCCCUAUGGGUUGUAAACUGCUUUUAUGUGGGAAUAAAGUCAGGGACGUGUCCCUGUUUGCAUGUACCACAGGAAUAAGGACCGGCUAAUUCCGUG